rnacentral:tRNA from 1 species
UAGUGUCCUGCAGAUCUUAU